rnacentral:rRNA from 1 species
UCUGGCUCAGGACGAACGCUGGCGGCGUGCCUAAUACAUGCAAGUCGAGCGGACAGAAGGGAGCUUGCUCCCGGAUGUUAGCGGCGGACGGGUGAGUAACACGUGGGUAACCUGCCUGUAAGACUGGGAUAACUCCGGGAAACCGGAGCUAAUACCGGAUAGUUCCUUGAACCGCAUGGUUCAAGGAUGAAAGACGGUUUCGGCUGUCACUUACAGAUGGACCCGCGGCGCAUUAGCUAGUUGGUGAGGUAACGGCUCACCAAGGCGACGAUGCGUAGCCGACCUGAGAGGGUGAUCGGCCACACUGGGACUGAGACACGGCCCAGACUCCUACGGGAGGCAGCAGUAGGGAAUCUUCCGCAAUGGACGAAAGUCUGACGGAGCAACGCCGCGUGAGUGAUGAAGGUUUUCGGAUCGUAAAGCUCUGUUGUUAGGGAAGAACAAGUGCAAGAGUAACUGCUUGCACCUUGACGGUACCUAACCAGAAAGCCACGGCUAACUACGUGCCAGCAGCCGCGGUAAUACGUAGGUGGCAAGCGUUGUCCGGAAUUAUUGGGCGUAAAGGGCUCGCAGGCGGUUUCUUAAGUCUGAUGUGAAAGCCCCCGGCUCAACCGGGGAGGGUCAUUGGAAACUGGGAAACUUGAGUGCAGAAGAGGAGAGUGGAAUUCCACGUGUAGCGGUGAAAUGCGUAGAGAUGUGGAGGAACACCAGUGGCGAAGGCGACUCUCUGGUCUGUAACUGACGCUGAGGAGCGAAAGCGUGGGGAGCGAACAGGAUUAGAUACCCUGGUAGUCCACGCCGUAAACGAUGAGUGCUAAGUGUUAGGGGGUUUCCGCCCCUUAGUGCUGCAGCUAACGCAUUAAGCACUCCGCCUG